AUCCAUCCUUUCCACGGGGCACAAGCCAGUGGCCUUCGGGAGUCUCUCUCCCCAAGGUGGCGCAUCCGUCACGGCUAUCUAUUUCCAGAAGGUUUCCGUUUCCAUCCCCUCCCUCCGAAAGAAAAAACGGCCCCACUCCCGGAUCUGCCUCACCACGACCACCACCACCACCACCACCGCCGCCGCCACCGCCGCCGCCGCCGCCGCCGCCGCCGCCGCCGCCGCCGCCGCCAUCUGCUGUCGCCCUCUAGGGUUGGACCGUUCUAGCUCUCUCCUCUGUGUGGAAUCGCAACGUAGGUCGCCUUGGAUGUCUGGCACCUCUCACUUAGCAGAAGGUUUUGGAGGCUCAGGCUGGGCCACGCUUUGGCCCGGGUCAGUGUUCCGUUCCUCCGGACGGCUUCCUCGUUUUCCACGAGAAGGAGCCGUGAAGACGGAAAGGAAGGGCGGAUGGAUGGCUUCUCCCGUGCUACCGAGUCCCUCUCCCCUUUUCCCCAAAGCGUGAGGGGCGGUCGACAGGAUCGUCUCUGAUGACAAAAGUCAGAGGCACCCCGGGUCAGACACCGUGCGAGGCGUUGGUGUGUUCUCGAGACGAGAACACGUCCCCGUCAGCGUUUCCUGUCGUUCUCGUUCCGAAAGGAUUCACGCGCCACCCCGUCUCCCUCAAGGUCUUAGGGCUGUCGUGCUCCGCAGCCGUCACGUGUCGUGGAUCCUGGGCACCACCACACCACCCCGCCCCCGCCCCCCCGCCAUAGCUGUCGAUCGCUAUGUGGCACGCCUACGUUUGCCCAAAAGGGCAGUCCGAUGGACAGCGUGGGUGCUUUUCCCAGCAGGCAGGCAGGAGACAAAACUCCCCUGCCAAAGGGGCCCUCCCGAAACGGGGAGUGAGGAAGACCUCCUUCUCUUCACGGCUGAAGUUCUCCCUGCCUUUCCUGGACGGGAAGGAUAGCACCUACGCCCGCUGCCGUCGGCGACUUUUAGUCCACCUGGAGAGGAAGAAAUUCUUUCCCGUGGCCGAACCCUGGCGGUUCGUUCGUGCUGCAGAGGACGUG